ensembl:snRNA U2 U2 spliceosomal RNA
AUCACUUCUCGGCCUUUUGGCUAAGAUCAAGUGUAGAUCACUUUUUCUGAUAGAAAACUAUCUUCACUUGAAGCAGUUUAUUUUCUGAAAAAUGAACAAAGCAACUCAAGAAAAAACUAAUACAUUUUGUUGCGAACAAUA